AGAGUUUGAUCAUGGCUCAGGAUGAAUGCUAGCGGCGUGGAUAAGGCAUGCAAGUCGAGUGGGUUUAGACCCACGGCAAACGAGGUAGUAAUACACAGGUACGCACCGAAAAGCCGGGGAUAUACCGCCGAAAGGCGGGGCAAUACCCGAUGGUCCCUCCGGGGUAAAGGAGCAAUCCACUUUUUGAGCGGCCUGUGUCGCAUCAGCUAGUUGGUAGGGUAAUGGCCUACCAAGGCGACGACGCGUAGGGGAGCUGAGAGGCUGACCCCCACCGAUGGAACUGAGACACGGUCCAUACACCUACGGGUGGCUGCAGUCGAGAAUAUUUGGCAAUGGGCGAAAGCCUGACCAUGCGACGCCGCGUGGUUGACGAAGUCCUUCGGGACGUAAAGACCUUUUAUGAGGGAGGAAGUAAUUGACGUUACCUCAUGAAUAAGGGGCUCCUAACUCUGUGCCAGCAGGAGCGGUAAUACAGAGGCCCCAAGCAUUAUCCGGAAUCACUGGGCGUAAAGGGUGUGUAGGCGGUCGUGUUAGUCCUUCGUGAAAGCUCCCGGACUCAAUCCGGGAAACGCGGUGGAAACGGCACGACUAUAGAGGACGCGAGAGGUAGAGGGAACUCAUGGUGUAGGGGUGAAAUCCGUUGAUAUCAUGGGGAACACCAAAUGCGAAGGCACUCUACUGGCGCGCUCCUGACGCUGAAACACGAAAGCGUGGGAAUCGAAUGGGAUUAGAUACCCUAGUAGUCC
rnacentral:rRNA from 1 species